rnacentral:rRNA from 1 species
CAGUCGCCGCGGUAUACGUAGGGUGCGAGCGUUAAUCGGAAUUACUGGGCGUAAAGCGUGCGCAGGCGGCUUUGCAAGACAGAUGUGAAAUCCCCGGGCUCAACCUGGGAACUGCAUUUGUGACUGCAAGGCUAGAGUACGGUAGAGGGGGACGGAAUUCCGCGUGUAGCAGUGAAAUGCGUAGAUAUGCGGAGGAACACCAAUGGCGAAGGCAAUCCCCUGGACCUGUACUGACGCUCAUGCACGAAAGCGUGGGGAGCAAACAGGAUUAGAUACCCCGGUAGUCCCUGUCUCUUAUACA